rnacentral:tRNA from 1 species
GGCUCCAUAAUGUAGUGGUUAGCACAUCUGCUUUACACGCAGAAGGUCCUGGGUUCGUGACACAGGUGGAGCCA